GACGAACGCUGGCGGCGUGCCUAAUACAUGCAAGUUGAGCGCUGAAGGUUGGUACUUGUACCAACUGGAUGAGCAGCGAACGGGUGAGUAACGCGUGGGGAAUCUGCCUUUGAGCGGGGGACAACAUUUGGAAACGAAUGUUAAUACCGCAUAAAAACUUUAAACACAAGUUUUAAGUUUGAAAGAUGCAAUUGCAUCACUCAAAGAUGAUCCCGCGUUGUAUUAGCUAGUUGGUGAGGUAAAGGCUCACCAAGGCGAUGAUACAUAGCCGACCUGAGAGGGUGAUCGGCCACAUUGGGACUGAGACACGGCCCAAACUCCUACGGGAGGCAGCAGUAGGGAAUCUUCGGCAAAGGACGAAAGUCUGACCGAGCAACGCCGCGUGAGUGAAGAAGGUUUUCGGAUCGUAAAACUCUGUUGGUAGAGAAGAACGUUGGUGAGAGUGGAAAGCUCAUCAAGUGACGGUAACUACCCAGAAAGGGACGGCUAACUACGU
rnacentral:rRNA from 1 species